AGUGAACGCUGGCGGCAGGCCUAAUACAUGCAAGUCGAACGGCAGCACAGUGGAGCUUGCUCCAUGGGUGGCGAGUGGCGGACGGGUGAGGAAUACAUGGGAAUCUGCCCAGUCGUGGGGAUAACGUAUGGAAACGUACGCUAAUACCGCAUGCGCCCUUCGGGGGAAAGUCGGGGGACCGCAAGGCCUGACGCGAUUGGAUGAGCCCAUGUUCGAUUAGCUAGUUGGCGGGUAACGGCCCACCAAGGCGACGAUCGAUAGCUGGUCUGAGAGGAUGAUCAGCCACACUGGAACUGAGACACGGUCCAGACUCCUACGGGAGCAGCAGUAGGGAAUAUUGGACAAUGGGCGCAAGCCUGAUCCAGCCAUGCCGCGUGAGUGAAGAAGG
rnacentral:rRNA from 1 species